rnacentral:rRNA from 1 species
AACGAACGCUGGCGGCAUGCCUAACACAUGCAAGUCGAACGAAGCCUUCGGGCUUUGUGGCGCACGGGUGCGUAACGCGUGGGAAUCUGCCCCUUGCUUCGGAAUAACAGUUAGAAAUGACUGCUAAUACCGGAUGAAGUCUUCGGACCAAAGAUUUAUCGGAAAGGGAUGAGCCCGCGUAGGAUUAGGUAGUUGGGGGGGUAAAGGCCUACCAAGCCGACGAUCCUUAGCUGGUCUGAGAGGAUGAUCAGCCACACUGGGACUGAGACACGGCCCAGACUCCUACGGGAGGCAGCAGUGGGGAAUAUUGGACAAUGGACGGAAGUCUGAUCCAGCUAUGCCGCGUGAGUGAUGAAGGCCUUAGGGUUGUAAAGCUCUUUUACCAGUGAUGAUAAUGACAGUACCUGAAGAAUAAGCUCCGGCUAACUACGUG